rnacentral:rRNA from 1 species
AUGAACGCUGGCGGCGUGCCUAAUACAUGCCAGUCGAGCGAACAGAUAAGGAGCUUGCUCCUUUGACGUUAGCGGCGGACGGGUGAGUAACACGUGGGUAACCUACCUAUAAGACUGGGAUAACUUCGGGAAACCGGAGCUAAUACCGGAUAACAUUUGGAACCGCAUGGUUCUAAAGUGAAAGAUGGUUUUGCUAUCACUUAUAGAUGGACCCGCGCCGUAUUAGCUAGUUGGUAAGGUAACGGCUUACCAAGGCAACGAUACGUAGCCGACCUGAGAGGGUGAUCGGCCACACUGGAACUGAGACACGGUCCAGACUCCUACGGGAGGCAGCAGUAGGGAAUCUUCCGCAAUGGGCGAAAGCCUGACGGAGCAACGCCGCGUGAGUGAUGAAGGGUUUCGGCUCGUAAAACUCUGUUAUUAGGGAAGAACAAACGUGUAAGUAACUGUGCACGUCUUGACGGUACCUAAUCAGAAAGCCACGGCUAACUACGUG